rnacentral:rRNA from 1 species
CCGGUUGAUCCUGCCGGAGGCCAUUGCUAUUGGGAUCCGAUUUAGCCAUGCUAGUUGCACGAGUUCAGACUCGUAGCGAAUAGCUCAGUAACACGUGGCCAAACUACCCUUCGGAGCACCAUACCCUCGGGAAACUGAGGCUAAUAGUGCAUCCCGCACUCACCCUGGAAUGGCGAGUGCGUCAAACGCUCCGGCGCCGAAGGAUGUGGCUGCGGCCGAUUAGGUAGACGGUGGGGUAACGGCCCACCGUGCCGAUAAUCGGUACGGGUCAUGAGAGUGAGAACCCGGAGACGGAAUCUGAGACAAGAUUCCGGGCCCUACGGGGCGCAGCAGGCGCGAAACCUUUACACUGCACGCCAGUGCGAUAAGGGGAUCCCAAGUGCGUAGGCAUAGAGCCUACGCUUUUGUACACCCUAGGGAGGUGUCCGAAUAAGGGCUGGGCAAGACCGGUGCCAGCCGCCGCGGUAAUACCGGCAGCCCGAGUGAUGGCCGAUCUUAUUGGGCCUAAAGCGUCCGUAGCUGGCCGCGCAAGUCCAUCGGGAAAUCCACCCGCUCAACGGGUGGACGUCCGGUGGAAACUGCACGGCUUGGGACCGGAAGGCGCGACGGGUACGUCCGGGGUAGGAGUGAAAUCCCGUAAUCCUGGACGGACCGCCGAUGGCGAAAGCACGUCGCGAGAACGGAUUCGACAGUGAGGGACGAAAGCUAGGGUCUCGAACCGGAUUUGAUACCCGGGUAGUCCUAGCCGUAA